rnacentral:rRNA from 1 species
GACGAACGCUGGUGGCGUGCUUAACACAUGCAAGUCGAACGGAAAGGCCCUGCUUUUGUGGGGUGCUCGAGUGGCGAACGGGUGAGUAACACGUGAGUAACCUGCCCUUGACUUUGGGAUAACUUCAGGAAACUGGGGCUAAUACCGGAUAGGAGCUCCUGCUGCAUGGUGGGGGUUGGAAAGUUUCGGCGGUUGGGGAUGGACUCGCGGCUUAUCAGCUUGUUGGUGGGGUAGUGGCUUACCAAGGCUUUGACGGGUAGCCGGCCUGAGAGGGUGACCGGCCACAUUGGGACUGCGAUACGGCCCAGACUCCUACGGGAGGCAGCAGUGGGGAAUAUUGCACAAUGGGCGGAAGCCUGAUGCAGCAACGCCGCGUGCGGGAUGACGGCCUUCGGGUUGUAAACCGCUUUCGCCUGUGACGAAGCGUGAGUGACGGUAAUGGGUAAAGAAGCACCGGCUAACUACGUG